GGGGUGGGUAUGGAAGGAAGGUGGCGGCUGAUGACGCCCCUCUCCCUGUGUCUAGUGGUAUCACGGAAGAUCAGCUUUUGGGGGAGCUCAGAGGCCGGCGAAGAUCUCCGGAUUUCUGGCCAUACUCUUUCUCCAAAGGCUCUGCCAGCCGACUAGUUAAGCUGAUCUCAGAUUCGGCCGCCGCGGGUCCCCUGAGACCCGCCUUUGUUUGGACUCACCCUGGAUUGGGGCUGGUUUGCCUGGGUUGGUGACCAGGAGGUGGAAGCAAAGGUUGGGUGGGCCGACCUAGCGGUAAGAGCAGAUGCUGAUACGCCAGACAAGGCUACCUUGGGCUACCUACGUGACCCUCUUACCUACCUCUCAUCCCCACCUGCCUGGUCUCCUUGCAGGAAGAAACUGAUGUCCUGGGUGGCAGCAGAAAAGCCAAUGUAGGGUUCCUGGCCAAGGCAACAUUAUUCCCAUCAUCUCGGGGCUUUUGAAAUAGGAUCCCAUUCAGUAUCUGUGGCUUGACUGGCCUUGAAUUAAUGGAGACCAGACUGACCUCAAAGUCACAGGGAGCCACCUGCCUCUUCCUCGGCUUCCAGGACAAGUCAGGAAACGUGCAGUGGAGCUGGUAUAAUGGCGCAUGCCUUCCAUCCCGG
ensembl:lncRNA